rnacentral:sRNA from 1 species
ACGGCUGGCCACAAGGAUGGCAGGCUUCGCGGAGCUCGGGCUGUCAUCGUGGCUCGUGGAACAAUGUCGGCAGCUGGGUUUGAAGCAGCCCACGCCCGUGCAGCUCGGCUGCAUCCCAGCCAUCCUGGAGGGUCGAGACUGCUUGGGCUGUGCCAAGACAGGCAGUGGGAAGACAGCAGCAUUUGUCCUUCCCAUCUUGCAGAAGCUGUCUGAGGAUCCCUAUGGCAUCUUCUGCCUCGUCCUGACACCCACCAGGGGUCCUGCAGAGUUAAACAAGAUGGCCCGGGUGCAGUGGCUCACACCUGUAAUCCCAGCACUUUGGGAGCUCCAGGGAGCUGGCCUACCAGAUCGCAGAGCAGUUCCGGGUUCUGGGGAAGCCUCUAGGGCUGAAAGACUGCAUCAUCGUCGGUGGCAUGGGUAUGGGAGCUGGGAGGCGGGGGAAGCCCCAGCAUGGGACCCUAACAGCUUUGGACCACCUGCCCAGCCCUGCCUCUCAUGCUCUGUCCCCCAGACAUGGUGGCCCAGGCGCUGGAGCUCUCUCGGAAACCGCACGUGGUCAUCGCCACGCCGGGGCGCCUGGCAGAUCACCUGCGCAGCUCCAACACUUUUAGUAUAAAGAAGAUCCGCUUCCUGGUGAGUUCGCCCCGCCCCUGCAGACCUCAGGAGCUGGGCUCGGAGCCUCCAGGCCCAGCAUCAGAGCCUGGGGCACCAUCUCAUCCAUUUAGGAAACGUAUGUCCCUUAGACUGUCCGGUAAAAUGCU